rnacentral:misc_RNA from 1 species
CUGUACCAAUUCGAUGCCCACUACACAAGGGAAUGGGGAAAUAACAAUUAGAAAUGUCACACAAAGAUAUCACCAAAAUUGGCAUCCAAUGACAAGGAUUUCAAGGCUACAAUUUUAUUGCCUCCCAUCUUUACAAAAACACUCAUCAUACAUCAAGGAAUUUCACCUGAAACACAAGUAUUGAGUGGCUAUUAUUCAUAAAAUUUUCAUUUAUCACAUUUUUUUCAGGCCAUUGUAAUCCUUGGCUUUUUAUUAUCUAGCGAUCAUAGUGAUUUAGUUCCAUUAUAAGAAAAUGGAUUGAUGGGUAAUACUCAUCACUGACACUCAUUGAAUAAACAA